CUGAAGUUUCAUUUUGAAAUCACCUUCUAGUAACGCGUGAAACGUGAGUGAGUUUAGAGAAAAUUAAAACAACAAGUAGAUACAAUUUUUUAUUUUUAAUUCAACAAUGGUUCGGUAUACUGAAAAUCAGUAUCAAAAAAUGUACAAAUAUUAUGUGGAUAGCAAUUAUAAUGCUAACAUGGCUGCUCGUAAGUACCAUGACGACCAUCCUGGAGAACAUUGUCCGUGCCCGAAGACGUUUUUGUUAACAUCAAAUAGACUUUCUACAACAAAUAGUGUCGCUCUUAAUCGACGUGAAAUUGGUGGACCUUCCGUAACCCGAAAAUCAUUAAAAAAACAAGAAAUGGUGUUAGAGGAAUUUCACAAAAAUCCAAACAAGACAAUCCGUCAAGUAGCCGAAGAGUUAAAUAUAUCAGAGUCGACAGUUCAACGGCACCUUCAAGACGAUGAACUUAAAGAUAUAAUACAAAAAAAAAAGUAGAAAACAAACAAAGUCGUAUAGAAAGUCAAUCAAAGGUUCAAAUGAAAAAUUAGAAGGAACAAUGAGUGUUAAAGAAGACAUAACCAAGUAUACAAAAAAAAGCAUCAAUCGAUAUUAAGAAGAUAACAAUAAUUUUUAGCGUUGCAUCUAUUAUAAGAAUAGCUCAUAAGUUAUUGUACAAGCAAAUAUUGAAUAAAAUAAACAAAAUUCGACAAAAAAA